rnacentral:tRNA from 1 species
CCUUUUGUUUUUUUUUAAUUGACAUAGACCCAAGUCAUUUAGUGAGAUGAGGAAGACGACGCGUUGGAAAUGGUCGGGAUAGCUCA